rnacentral:rRNA from 1 species
GAUGAACGCUAGCUGCAGGCUUAACACAUGCAAGUCGAGCGGACAGGCCAGCAGCUUCCUCCUCUUACGUUGGCUCCACACGCGUGAGGGUGACUUACGUAUCUCAACUAUACGACUCACUUUGCUUUAAGCUUGCGUAGGUAAGACCAAUUAAUAUUUUGAACCCCAGAGGUCAUUCGUGUGGGACGAUUGUUCUAUCGCUUAUAGAUGGGUCCGCGUCGCAUUAGCUAGUUGGUGAGGUGACGGCCUACCAAGGCGACGAUGAGUAGCCGAUCUGAGAGGGAGAACGAGCACACUGGAAGAGAGACACGGUCCAGACACCGACGGGAGGCAGCAGUAGGGAAUCUUCCGCAAUGGGCGAAAGCCUGACGGAGCAACGCCGCGUGAGUGAUGAAGGUCUUAGGAUCGUAAAACUAUGUUAUUAGGGAAGAACAAAUGUGUAAGUAACUAUGCACGUAUUGACGGUACCUGAGCAGAAAGCCACGGCUAACUACGUG